GGGUGAGUAACACGUGAGUAACCUGCCCUAGGCUUUGGGAUAACCCCGGGAAACCGGGGCUAAUACCGGAUAUGACUGGCUGCCGCAUGGUGGUUGGUGGAAAGAUUUUUCGGCUUGGGAUGGACUCGCGGCCUAUCAGCUUGUUGGUGGGGUAAUGGCCUACCAAGGCGGCGACGGGUAGCCGGCCUGAGAGGGCGACCGGCCACACUGGGACUGAGACACGGCCCAGACUCCUACGGGAGGCAGCAGUGGGGAAUCUUGCACAAUGGGCGGAAGCCUGAUGCAGCGACGCCGCGUGAGGGAUGACGGCCUUCGGGUUGUAAACCUCUUUCAGCAGGGACGAAGCGUUUGUGACGGUACCUGCAGAAGAAGCGCCGGCCAACUACGUGCCAGCAGCCGCGGUAAGACGUAGGGCGCGAGCGUUGUCCGGAUUUAUUGGGCGUAAAGAGCUCGUAGGCGGCUUGUCGCGUCGACUGUGAAAACCCGUGGCUCAACUGCGGGCUUGCAGUCGAUACGGGCAGGCUAGAGUUCGGUAGGGGAGACUGGAAUUCCUGGUGUAGCGGUGAAAUGCGCAGAUAUCAGGAGGAACACCGGUGGCGAAGGCGGGUCUCUGGGCCGAUACUGACGCUGAGGAGCGAAAGCGUGGGGAGCGAACAGGAUUAGAUACCCUGGUAGUCCACGCUGUAAACGUUGGGCGCUAGGUGUGGGGGGCCUCUCCGGUUCUCUGUGCCGCAGCUA
rnacentral:rRNA from 1 species